ACCUACGGGGGGCAGCAGUGGGGAAUAUUGGACAAUGGGGGGAACCCUGAUCCAGCGACGCCGCGUGAGUGAAGAAGUAUUUCGGUAUGUAAAGCUCUAUCAGCAGGGAAGAAAAUGACGGUACCUGACUAAGAAGCCCCGGCUAACUACGUGCCAGCAGCCGCGGUAAUACGUAGGGGGCAAGCGUUAUCCGGAUUUACUGGGUGUAAAGGGAGCGUAGACGGCAGCGCAAGUCUGGAGUGAAAUGCCGGGGCUCAACCGCGGAACUGCUUUGGAAACUGUUAAGCUGGAGUACUGGAGAGGCA
rnacentral:rRNA from 1 species